rnacentral:rRNA from 1 species
UGCAGUCGAGGGGUAACAGGGUUGCUUGCAACCGCUGACGACCGGCGCACGGGUGCGUAACGCGUAUACAAUCUACCUUUUGCUGCGGGAUAGCCCAGAGAAAUUUGGAUUAAUACCGCAUAGUAUGUAAAUCUCGCAUGGGGGUUACAUUAAAGGUUACGGCAAAAGAUGAGUAUGCGUUCUAUUAGCUAGAUGGUAAGGUAACGGCUUACCAUGGCAACGAUAGAUAGGGGCCCUGAGAGGGGGAUCCCCCACACUGGUACUGAGACACGGACCAGACUCCUACGGGAGGCAGCAGUGAGGAAUAUUGGACAAUGGAGGGAACUCUGAUCCAGCCAUGCCGCGUGCAGGAAGACUGCCCUAUGGGUUGUAAACUGCUUUUAUACAGGAAGAAUAAGUCUCUCGUGAGGGACGAUGACGGUAUUGUAUGAAUAAGCACCGGCUAACUCCGUGCCAGCAGCCGCGGUAAUACGGAGGGUGCAAGCGUUAUCCGGAAUCAUUGGGUUUAAAGGGUCCGUAGGCGGAUUAAUAAGUCAGUGGUGAAAGUCUGCAGCUCAACUGUAGAAUUGCCAUUGAUACUGUUAGUCUUGAAUUAUUAUGAAGUAGUUAGAAUAUGUAGUGUAGCGGUGAAAUGCAUAGAUAUUACAUAGAAUACCGAUUGCGAAGGCAGGCUACUAAUAAUAUAUUGACGCUGAUGGACGAAAGCGUGGGUAGCGAACAGG